AUACCUUUCUCGGCCUUUUGGCUAAGAUCAAGUGUAGUAUCUGUUCUUAUCAGUUUAAUAUCUGAUACGUGGACCAUUGGUUCACUAUGAUAUUAAAUUAAUUUUUCUUUGGGGAGGAUGCAUGCGGUAACUAGCUGUUGGUCCUUAAAGCGUGUCAUCCUUAUGUUGCACUAUUAUGGGGUUUGAGCUUUGAGUU